CCUGACUCAAGAUAAAGAAUAUUAAACAAGGGGAUGUAUGACAUAACAGAAAGGGCAUAAGAAAUAAUAAAAUAUAAAUCAGAGAAAUAUAAAAUGCAAGCGAUAAGGUAACACGAAAAUAAGAAAAUAGGAACUAAGAAAUUAUGAAUGGGACACCACCUAGAAGUAACAAACACUCACAAACCAAAGAAACCUAUGACACAGUCCUAAGAUAACUAACCCGGCUACACAAGAUCUCUCCUAACGGCUGGCUACAAUCCACCCCCUCUUGCUAGCCUUCUACCCUUAUCCGCG
rnacentral:lncRNA from 1 species